UAGAUUACAUUGUUCAACAAGUUAAGGAAAAGGUUUUAUAACGAAAAACCAAUACAAAAUAAACGGAUUAAAAGUUUGAUAAAAACGACACUGGAAAAUGGAGGUGAAACUGAUGUUGAUUUUUCAUCAAGUCAGAGUGUGAGUGAAUUAAGUUCAUCACCACCUGUCAAAAAGCCAUGUAAUGAAACUCCUAUUGAUAAACCAUCCACAUUUUCAUUGUUGUCAGCCUGUUGCAGAAAAAACACUGAUGAAAUGGUUUAUAACUUGAUGCUGUACUUCAACAAGAAUGGUGUAAAAAAAAUAUUGACAUGAAUAUAGUUGCAUCAUGCCUGGAUGCUACAUUUACUCAAAGAAGGACUUGGGUAAACAAAUGUCCAGUUGACAGAAUUGCUAGAAUUACAACAGUUUUUGAGAAAUAUCCAUGUUUCUCUAACGUGACUGUCAUUGUUGGCGAAGUAGCUCGUUUAUUAAAGUCUGCUGUCACAGUUAACUCAGCGAGAGUCUGCUUAGCUGAAGAAAUUGACAUGCUUUUAUUUUACGGAAUACACAAGUUAGUAGUUCCUCUACCACCACCACCCAAAGC